CCCAUCAGGAAGCUGGGGAUGCAGAUGAAAGUGCAUCGGCCCUAUAGCUCUGAAAAAAAAUAGGGGAUCUCUCCUGUGGGGCUGCAAGAUAGCUGGAAGAGGAUAGUACUUCUGGGCAAAAGAGAUGCAUGAACGUGCUACAGACCUGUGAGAAUAGCCUCAAGAAUCCUUUGGAAAAAUUAUAUAAAUAAAGAAGUUCAAAGGUUUUGGUUG